rnacentral:rRNA from 1 species
UAUACGAUGAAGAGUUUGAUCCUGGCUCAGGAUGAACGCUAGCGGCAGGCCUAACACAUGCAAGUCGAGGGGUAGGAAGAGCUUGCUUUUCUGAGACCGGCGCACGGGUGAGUAACGCGUAUGCAAUCUACCUUAUACAGGGGAAUAGCCCAGAGAAAUUUGGAUUAAUGCCCCAUGGUUUAUUGAGAUGGCAUCAUUUUAAUAAUAAAGAUUUAUCGGUAUAAGAUGAGCAUGCGUAUCAUUAGCUAGUUGGUGUGGUAAAGGCCUACCAGGGCGA